rnacentral:rRNA from 1 species
UGGGGAAUAUUGCACAAUGGGCGCAAGCCUGAUGCAGCGACGCCGCGUGAGGGAUGACGGCCUUCGGGUUGUAAACCUCUUUCGCUAGGGACGAAGCGUAAGUGACGGUACCUGGAGAAGAAGCACCGGCCAACUACGUGCCAGCAGCCGCGGUAAUACGUAGGGUGCGAGCGUUGUCCGGAAUUACUGGGCGUAAAGAGCUCGUAGGCGGUUUGUCGCGUCGUCUGUGAAAUUCUGCAACUCAAUUGCAGGCGUGCAGGCGAUACGGGCAGACUUGAGUACUACAGGGGAGACUGGAAUUCCUGGUGUAGCGGUGAAAUGCGCAGAUAUCAGGAGGAACACCGGUGGCGAAGGCGGGUCUCUGGGUAGUAACUGACGCUGAGGAGCGAAAGCGUGGGGAGCGAACAG